rnacentral:rRNA from 1 species
GACGAACGCUGGCGGCGUGCCUAAUACAUGCAAGUUGAGCGAUGAAGAUUGGUGCUUGCACCCAUUUGAAGAGCAGCGAACGGGUGAGUAACGCGUGGGGAAUCUGCCUUUGAGCGGGGGACAACAUUUGGAAACGAAUGCUAAUACCGCAUAACAACUUUAAACAUAAGUUUUAAGUUUGAAAGAUGCAAUUGCAUCACUCAAAGAUGAUCCCGCGUUGUAUUAGCUAGUUGGUGAGGUAAAGGCUCACCAAGGCGAUGAUACAUAGCCGACCUGAGAGGGUGAUCGGCCACAUUGGGACUGAGACACGGCCCAAACUCCUACGGGAGGCAGCAGUAGGGAAUCUUCGGCAAUGGACGAAAGUCUGACCGAGCAACGCCGCGGGAGGGAAGAAGGUUUUCGGAUCGUAAAACUCUGUUGGUAGAGAAGAAAGUUGGUGAGAGUGGAAAGCUCAUCAAGUGACGGUAACUACCCAGAAAGGGACGGCUAACUACGUG